GGCUUAGUCCUGUGAUUGAAAAACUCUUUCUGGAAGGUUGAUGGAGCAGGAGGAUGAGCAUUUCGAUUGCCAUCCAUCGCUUCCACAGAAGCCUCAAUAUUGCCAUUCCAAAUGACUGUCUGUCUUUCUGGUUGUUGACGUGACUGCAGGGAAGGACUGGUGCACCUCCUACAACAGAACAUGCGAGUCAGGCUGUGAAGAAGCCCCUUCAGCCCUAAAUACUCACAUCAGCUGAAACAACCAGCAGAGAGGGAUGGCAGAAUAUUGAAUUAGCAUCUAUUUUAAAAUAGCUCCUGCUUGGAGUGGGGCCUGAUGGAGACACCUAAUGGAGUUGUCUGUACACACAAUCCUCUGCUUAUAUUGAGACUUCCUCGGUGAUUUGCUCCCCAACAACAACUGAAGACAUAAGGGUAGAGAUGCACACGCAUGCAGUGGAUUAUGUUCAGCAUAGUUUCUUUGGAGGGAUGACCAGCUGUCCCAACAUACUGUUGCAACCCUUUUAGCAGAGACUGUCCUGCUGUAUUACCAUAGGAGCAAACACUGGAAAGAAGUCCCAUCUCUGGCCUGCAAAACUACUUUGUGCUUACACAGAUAGCCCUGUUAAUUAAAGAGGGUGAUUUCAUCCUACGCUGGCUAGAAGACUCUUCACAGUGGAAAGAGGUACUUGGUCUGAAUCUGUGUAAG
rnacentral:lncRNA from 1 species